rnacentral:rRNA from 1 species
AACGAACGCUGGCGGCAUGCCUAACACAUGCAAGUCGAACGAGACCUUCGGGUCUAGUGGCGCACGGGUGCGUAACGCGUGGGAACCUGCCCUUAGGUUCGGAAUAACUCCCCGAAAGGGGUGCUAAUACCGGAUAAUGUCUUCGGACCAAAGAUUUAUCGCCUUUGGAUGGGCCCGCGUUGGAUUAGCUAGUUGGUAGGGUAAAAGCCUACCAAGGCGACGAUCCAUAGCUGGUCUGAGAGGAUGAUCAGCCACACUGGGACUGAGACACGGCCCAGACUCCUACGGGAGGCAGCAGUGGGGAAUAUUGGACAAUGGGCGAAAGCCUGAUCCAGCAAUGCCGCGUGAGUGAUGAAGGCCCUAGGGUUGUAAAGCUCUUUUACCCGGGAUGUUAAUGACAGUACCGGGAGAAUAAGCUCCGGCUAACUCCGUG